AUUGAACGCUGGCGGAAUGCUUUACACAUGCAAGUCGAACGGCAGCACGGGGGCAACCCUGGUGGCGAGUGGCGAACGGGUGAGUAAUACAUCGGAACGUGCCCAGUCGUGGGGGAUAACGUAGCGAAAGUUACGCUAAUACCGCAUACGAUCUACGGAUGAAAGCGGGGGACCGUAAGGCCUCGCGCGAUUGGAGCGGCCGAUGUCAGAUUAGGUAGUUGGUGAGGUAAAGGCGCACCAAGCCGACGAUCUGUAGCUGGUCUGAGAGGACGACCAGCCACACUGGGACUGAGACACGGCCCAGACUCCUACGGGAGGCAGCAGUGGGGAAUUUUGGACAAUGGGCGCAAGCCUGAUCCAGCCAUUCCGCGUGCAGGACGAAGGCCUUCGGGUUGUAAACUGCUUUUGUACGGAACGAAAAGGCUCUGGUUAAUACCUGGGGCUCAUGACAGUACCGUAAGAAUAAGCACCGGCUAACUACGUGCCAGCCGCCGCCGUAA
rnacentral:rRNA from 1 species